rnacentral:rRNA from 1 species
CUGCUCAGGACGAACGCUGGCGGCGUGCCUAAUACAUGCAAGUCGAGCGGACAGAUGGGAGCUUGCUCCCUGAUGUUAGCGGCGGACGGGUGAGUAACACGUGGGUAACCUGCCUGUAAGACUGGGAUAACUCCGGGAAACCGGGGCUAAUACCGGAUGGUUGUUUGAACCGCAUGGUUCAAACAUAAAAGGUGGCUUCGGCUACCACUUACAGAUGGACCCGCGGCGCAUUAGCUAGUUGGUGAGGUAACGGCUCACCAAGGCAACGAUGCGUAGCCGACCUGAGAGGGUGAUCGGCCACACUGGGACUGAGACACGGCCCAGACUCCUACGGGAGGCAGCAGUAGGGAAUCUUCCGCAAUGGACGAAAGUCUGACGGAGCAACGCCGCGUGAGUGAUGAAGGUUUUCGGAUCGUAAAGCUCUGUUGUUAGGGAAGAACAAGUACCGUUCGAAUAGGGCGGUACCUUGACGGUACCUAACCAGAAAGCCACGGCUAACUACGUGCCAGCAGCCGCGGUAAUACGUAGGUGGCAAGCGUUGUCCGGAAUUAUUGGGCGUAAAGGGCUCGCAGGCGGUUUCUUAAGUCUGAUGUGAAAGCCCCCGGCUCAACCGGGGAGGGUCAUUGGAAACUGGGGAACUUGAGUGCAGAAGAGGAGAGUGGAAUUCCACGUGUAGCGGUGAAAUGCGUAGAGAUGUGGAGGAACACCAGUGGCGAAGGCGACUCUCUGGUCUGUAACUGACGCUGAGGAGCGAAAGCGUGGGGAGCGAACAGGAUUAGAUACCCUGGUAGUCCACGCCGUAAACGAUGAGUGCUAAGUGUUAGGGGG